ACACUAUUAUUUAUUCCCAUUUUAUAGGUGAGAGGCGAGCACCUGCUGAGCUGACAACAGGCAAUGCCCAGCAGCUGCCUCCUCGCCCUAGCUGAGCUGACCACAAGAUUCCAGACCUCAGCUGGAGCUGCAGCCUCAUACUGGCUGAGUGGCUCCAAGACACAGAAGGAAGCGAGCUGGGCACCAAGGGGGAGCUCACCAUCAUGUCACUGCGCCAAGCGCCAAGCAGAGCCACUGUGAGGCAGUGAGGACUGGAAGGGCCUGGGAGGAAUAGCUGGGAUCGACUUUUGCUGGAAAUUGGCCCUUGCAGGCCUCCCUUCACCCGGAAUGCCUGUGAUCACUGUGCCUGGGCACAUGGGCUUCACUUGGCAACACCUGUGCUGGCCUGUAGGACCAACCUACCAUUUUGUAUCAUUCUCCUCCCACCCC
rnacentral:lncRNA from 1 species